GCCCGCAUCGUGAAGGUGCAGCUCCCGGCUUAUCUUAAGCGGCUCCCAGUCCCGGAGAGCAUUACCGGCUUCGCCCGGCUCACAGGUUUAUAUAAAGAGACAACUUUAGACACAAAGUAGUGUGAUUGCAGAAAUAUGAAGAAAGGUGCUUGGAAGCAUAGGAGGAAGUGAUUGAUUCUAUGUUGUGAAACCAAAGAAGUCUUCUGGAAGAGUUUCAGAAUGGCUUCGGUUAUUGCCUUUCCUUGGUGUACUUGCACUACUUGGCUACCUUGCAGUCCGUCCRUUCU